UACGGAGGGUGCAAGCGUUAAUCGGAAUUACUGGGCGUAAAGCGCGCGUAGGUGGUUCGUUAAGUUGGAUGUGAAAGCCCCGGGCUCAACCUGGGAACUGCAUCCAAAACUGGCGAGCUAGAGUACGGUAGAGGGUGGUGGAAUUCCUGGUGUAGCAGUGAAAUGCGUAGAGAUCAGGAGGAACACCCGUGGCGAAGGCGACUGCCUGGACUGAUACUGACACUGAGGUGCGAAAGCGUGGGGAGCAAACAGG
rnacentral:rRNA from 1 species